rnacentral:lncRNA from 1 species
CAUGAAGGCUAAUAAGUUAAGUUAGAUAAGUCUAAUAAAUUAAGUGGAGCUAGUUUCAGUUCACGAUAAACUUAGCGGUAAGGGACCUAACAAUAAACCUAAAGUUUUGAUAAGUUGAAUCAGGUCAAAGCCAGUAAACACUGUGGCUGAGCCUUUAAGUGCGAUGAAUGCGUCUUUCCUAUCAGCAUGUGUUUUUGAAAUUGUUGAUUAGCAUAUGCAUUCAAUGCACAGUUUCAUACCUCCUCUCACAAGCCUUACAAAACGACAGGCCUGCCGCUGCGUUCCUUGAUUCAUCCAAGCAAAAGUUUGAAUCAAUU